GGCAUUACUUCUCACAAAAGAAAUAAUCAGUGGCCUCAAACGGUUGAGGUUUAAUAAAAAUAGUAUAUGUCAAUAGCGACAGCUCUCUAGGGAUAUCACAAAAGAAGUCAGAAGUAUAUCUGUUUCCUUUGAUUAUCAGCAACAAAUUUUGACGGGAAGGUUGUCUCCUGCAUGCUUGAAUGCUUGAACCUGAUGGAAAGGUAUACCACCUGUGGAUCCCUUUUCCCCCAGAUUAAAUGCAUAAAAGUAUACCACCUGGAGGUCCCUUUCUCCUAGAUUAAAUCAUAAAACUACAACACCUGAAGAUCCCUUGCCCCAGAUAAAGUAGCAUACACUCCACAACACAGGUGAGCUGGGUCACAGCAUGAUUAUUCUCUAUAUUUAGGCCACCUUCUUACUCAAUCCUAACUCAAUAUUACCAUCAAAUGAAUCAUGUUACUAUCUAUAGCAAUUAAGAUGGUCAAAAUAAGUGAUUUCUUCCAUUUCUCCCAGAUAGAAAUAGCCAGUCUAUGUUCAUUUUUAUUCAUUUGUUUUGCUCCUACUGUGUUGGUAAACUAGCUAUUUUAAGCAAUUAAUCAAUUUCUGAUGUUAAAGCACUUGGGGGAAAGGUGAAAGUGAGAAUCAAAUCAGUCUUCAGGGGAACAAAUAUUUAGCUUCCAUUGUAGUGAAUUUUGGUUUUGCUUUCUGAAAAGUUAUUAUAGAUUUUCUUUUCUUUCUUUCUGGUUUUUUUUUUGUUUGUUUGUUUUUUUGUUUUUUGAGGGCCAGCAAAAUUCCUCACCUUCCCCUUCUUUUUCUGGUUCCAGACCUUCUCCCAAGUAUUUGGAACUGACCCUCAGCAGUGAUUGUUCCAAGGCGUAGGCCAUGACAAGCAAAAUUAGCAGUACUGGCCUAGAGAACGGCACGCAGGAGCCCUUCAAACAAGCAACAUGAAUAAAGGCUCAGGGGGAAAAAAGAGAAGUUCAGCAACAGCUGAGUCUCCUACUGCUGGAAAUAACAGGACUUUUGUUUUCUAUUUGAUUGGGAAGUGUUAGAAUGGCAACAGUGACAAAUCCUAUGGCAAAUCUUUAUGCGAAGGUAAGUGAUGGCUAUAAAAAAGAAACUUCAUGUUAAGCUCCCAAUGUGGCUUCAUAAAGUGCACAAUUUACAUUUCAUGUAGGCAGAAUCACCAACAGCAAAGCAUUCUUCUGUGGAAGCUGUGUCCCUCGUCACCAUGGUUUAAAGAGGUGCAGUCUAGUGUUGCAAUUAAAGUUAGGCUUUGGGUUCAAAAAGGCAAGGGUUCUAUUUCCAGCUCUGUCAUUUACAAGCUGUGUAACCUUGGACAAAUUACUUAAUCUCCUUUAGCCUCAAUGUUCUAACCCAUAAAAAAGAAAUUAUAAAGGUGCCCAUGCCAAGGAUCAUUAAAUAAAGCAUGUAAAGCAUAAUAGUUGACAAUUGCAUAUGCUUAUUAAAUGUUAGCUACUCUCAUAAGUCUCAUGUAUAGGCAGAAAGCAAAGACUGAUUUGAACCCAGACUUUUGACUCAAUGUUUACCUAAAAAAGGCCUGUAACAAGUGCUUUCAACUAAAAGAUGAUUUAUUUGUAUGGCUAUUGUAAGCUCAGAAUGUCAUAAUGGAUGUGAAAGCACAUUAAAAUUGCUAU